GACGAACGCUGGCGGCGCGCCUAACACAUGCAAGUCGAACGAGCGAGGGAGAGCUUGCUUUCUUGAGCGAGUGGCGAACGGGUGAGUAACGCGUGAGGAACCCGCCUCAAAGAGGGGGACAACAGUUGGAAACGACUGCUAAUACCGCAUAAGCCCACGGUGCCGCAUGGCACAGAGGGAAAAGGAGCAAUCCGCUUUGAGAUGGCCUCGCGUCCGAUUAGCUAGUUGGUGAGGUAACGGCCCACCAAGGCGACGAUCGGUAGCCGGACUGAGAGGUUGAACGGCCACAUUGGGACUGAGACACGGCCCAGACUCCUACGGGAAGCAGCAGUGGGGAAUAUUGCACAAUGGGGGAAACCCUGAUGCAGCGACGCCGCGUGGAGGAAGAAGGUCUUCGGAUUGUAAACUCCUGUUGUUGGGGAAGAUAAUGACGGUACCCAACAAGGAAGUGACGGCUAACUACGUG
rnacentral:rRNA from 1 species